rnacentral:rRNA from 1 species
CACGCCGUAAACGAUGAAUACUAGGUGUGGGGGGACUGACCCCUUCCGUGCCGCAGUUAACACAAUAAGUAUUCCACCUGGGGAGUACGGCCGCAAGGCUGAAACUCAAAGGAAUUGACG